GACGUAGGGCGCGAGCGUUGUCCGGAUUUAUUGGGCGUAAAGAGCUCGUAGGCGGCUUGUUAAGUCGAACGUGAAAUCCCCGGGCUCAACCCGGGAACUGCGUCCGAUACUGGCAGGCUUGAAUCCGGGAGAGGGAUGCGGAAUUCCAGGUGUAGCGGUGAAAUGCGUAGAUAUCUGGAGGAACACCGGUGGCGAAGGCGGCAUCCUGGACCGGCAUUGACGCUGAGGCGCGAAAGCCAGGGGAGCAAACGGG
rnacentral:rRNA from 1 species